GAUGAACGCUGGCGGCGUGCCUAAUACAUGCAAGUCGAGCGAAGCGGGGACGGGUGAGUAACACGUGGAUAACCUCCUAUAAGACUGGGAUAACUUUGGGAAACGGGAGCUAAACCGGAUACUUAAAGUUUGACCCGCGGUGCAUUAGCGAGUUGGUAAGGUAAAGGCUUACAAAGGCAACGAUGCAUACCCGACCGGGGAGGGUGUUCGGCCACACUGGAACUGAGACACGGUCCAGACUCCUACGGGGGGCAGCAGUAGGGAAUCUUCCGCAAUGGGCGAAGGCCUGACGGGGCAACGCCGCUUGAGUGAUGAAGUUCUUCGGUUCGUAAAACUCUGUUAUUAGGGAAGCGGUACCUAAUCAGAAAGCCACGGCUAACUACGUGCCAGCAGCCGCGGUAAUUC
rnacentral:rRNA from 1 species